GACGAACGCUGGCGGCGUGGAUUAGGCAUGCAAGUCGAACGGUAGGAUACCUUCGGGUAUCUGAGAGUGGCGAACGGGUGAGUAACACGUAGGUGAUCUACCCUCAAGAUUGGGACAACCUAGGGAAACUUGGGCUAAUACCGGAUGAAAGCAGCAGUGAUGUUGUUUGAAAGGUGGCGUAAGCUGCCGUUUGGGGAUGAGCCUGCGCUCUAUUAGUUAGUUGGCGGGGUAAAGGCCCACCAAGGCGAUGAUAGAUAGGCGGCCUUAACGGGUGGUCGCCCACACUGGGAUUGAGAUACGGCCCAGACUCCUACGGGAGGCAGCAGUCGAGAAUAGUCUACAAUGGCCGAAAGGCUGAUAGUGCGACGCCGCGUGAACGAAGAAGCCCUUCGGGUGUAAAGUUCUUUUAUAUGUGAGCAGUGCUUUCUAUGUGAACAGCAUGGGGAGAGAGAUAUUAGCAUAUGAAUAAGCAACGGCUAACUCCGUGCCAGCACG
rnacentral:rRNA from 1 species